rnacentral:lncRNA from 1 species
UGUUUGGAUGCGCAGACUUGCACCCUUUUACAUGGUGACAAUUUUGUGGGAGAUUGCUUUUUUUUCGUGUCUACGGGGUUUGUUUCCUUUUUAUUCAUCGGGUUUCGGCUUUGUAGUCUUAUUCAAACCUAAAUGUUUUGUUCACUGUGAGUGAUAGAAGUUUAUAUGUGUGUGCCUAUUCAUUGGCAUCAUCUUGUAAAGCUGAAGACCUAUUUCGCAAUUAAUAGCAUUCUCAGCCCGGAAGUUUUACAACAACCCUUUUGAAAAUGAUUUUUCUUGCAGGUCCAUUGUUACAGAAACAGCAAUUUUUGUAGUGUUUUUAUUUAUGGAUUUUCUGUAGAAUAUCAGUUUUCCUACCCUUUUAAUCCCACGUUUUAAAAGGUUAUUAGACCAAGUUUAGUAGAGGUCCAGAAAACAGAGAGAAAUAAGAGAUCUUAAUAUUACUUGUCUACUAUCUAUUUAUCUAUAUUUUUUUUCCGGGUCUACAGUUCAUCCAAGGGUUCACCCUUUCUACCACUGGACUACAUUGAUGGAUUUGCUAGAUAUCAACACUUCUUGUAACGUGUAUAGGGCUAUGAUGAAGAAAUUAAUCACAUAAUUAGUUUUGAAAUGUCUUUAGUAACCAAAAGAAUGCAAUAUUGGUUAGAAUUUUUAGCGAAUUUGGAGCAGCAACGCAUUGCAGUUGAUUGAAAACUACAGGGACCAAUGAUAGAAUCUACCCAAGUUUUGGGGUAUUUUCUGUGGCAUAUUCCAGGGAAAGGGAAAGGAGUAGACAGGGAAUACAUAUAUAUAGGUGCUAUUUCAAUCGGAGGGUCAAGAUGGAAAGGGACCCACUUGAAAGAACAGUGGCACAAAAAUUGAACAGUCAAGAUCCACCAAAUCAGAGAUUGCUAAGGCACGAUGCAUGCAUAUACUGAAGAAGUACAUGUCAUGAUCACGUCUUGUUUUAUAAAAUAGACGGUUAAAAUUUACAAGCAAAUCAGUCAUUUAUCUCUUGAAACUAAACACAAAUUCAUAUGUAUCUAAAUGGAGCUCAAUUUUUUUUGACAUUUUUGUGUACUUUCACCACUGCUCAAUGGGACGUGAUUAGCAAAAAAAAUAUUAUGACUUGCCAUGUGUUGGUUGCAAAAUUUAGCACUUGUCGCGCAUUAAACCGGCAUGGGGCUACGUGCGCUAACUCAAUUAUUGUUUCAAAUCAAUAGUAAUUUAUCAGAAAGUUGUUAGAAACAUGAAAGCACACAACUCCCAAAGCUCUUUUAGGGUUGACAUGGUUGAUGGUUUAUUGAACUAGUGAAAACAACAAUUGAGUUGGACGAGGAAAGAUGGAAGCAAGAAGGCUAUGGAGUGGAAAAUUUUGAGAGAAGCUCUUUGAAGAGAUUCCAAUUAAUCCCACUUUUAUCUUACCUACUUCACUUAAACCAACUUUUGUAGUCCCCUGCCGGCCAUGCACCAUUUUAGCUAUCGACAGGGCACAUAUCGAUACACGUAUAUAUUGGUGUAGCAUGUACCAUUUCAAAUUUAUAAUUAUAUAUAUUAUUAAUAUUUCACAUGUAACUUUUAAGAGUUAAUAAAACUCUAAAUAAAGUAAUAUUUAACUACGCAUUCCAAAUUUUAAGAUAUUCAAAUAACAAAUUAUAAGUUUUAAGUAAAAAAGACGAUUAUAAACCAAUUUGGCUUUAAAAUUACCAAAGCACCCUUUUAAAAGUUCAAAUUUUUUGAAAAUAUCGAUUCUAUCGGUAUGAGGUGGAACAUGGUGGUACAACUUGAUAUAAGUCGCUACACUAGAUAAAGGCCAAUACUUUAGUGAUACGGGACAUAGAAUUAAGCGUAUCAUUUUUCAUCCGAUACCGGCUAGUAUAGUACGAGAUUGAUAACUUUGCUGUCAAGUACUCUAUUUGUUUCAUUCUAUUUGUUCAUUCGGAGAUUUUUAACUUUUUAAAAAAUGCAUUUAAUGCAUUUAAAUUUUGAUAAAAACAGUUGAUUUUUAAGUUGUCUUUGUAUCCCCAGUUUUAAAAGUAUUUAUAAUUACUUGAAAAAUAGAGUUUUGGAAAAUUAACAAGUUUUAUGGAAUAAUCUCGUUGAAGCUGGACCUUGACACUAUGAUUAACACAUUAAUCAAACCUAAGUAGCUUUCAUAUCUUUUUCUUUUAAAACCUUAAAGUUGUAAUUGGAUCAAGACUGUACAGAAAAAUUUAUCCAUGGUGACAAUUUUGUGAGAGAUUGGUUUUUUUCGAGUGCGUCAACGAGGUUUGUUUCCUUUUUAUUCAUCGGCUUUGUAGUCUAUAUUCAAACCUAAUGUUGUUGUUCACUGUGAGUGAUAAGAAGUUAUAUGUGUGUGCCUAUUCAUUGGCAUCAUCUUGUAAAGCUCUGAG